rnacentral:lncRNA from 1 species
UGAAGGUCACUCAAGAAAAUUCCACUUUCUUCAAGAUUCAAGGGCAUGACAAGGAAACCAAGAGUUGAAGUCAGCGUCCACCCCACACACCUGCAGCCCCCUGUGAAGGCUGGUGCAGACUCUGCUCCUUAGUAGACUGACCCCUGACUCAUGGAUCAGGUUCUUCCCCAAGGGCACGGCUUGACUCCUCUUGAUCAGAAUCACUUUUGAUGUUUGAUGACAAUGCAGCUUCCAAAGCCUCCCUCAGGCCUACUGAAUUCCUCUUGUGGGUGGACCCAAGGAAUCUUGUCUUACUGACAAGCACUCUGAGGUCAGCUUUCUGGAAGCAGAGCUGGGGAUCGGGUUGGGGGGCAGUUUGUGUUAGCAUCAUUUGUGGAGAGGCCUUGUCCCCUAAGAAGGAGAGUGAGGGAAGAGAACAGGGCAAGGGAAGAAAGUUAACAAAUAUGUCUGCACUGGCGACUGAAUUCAGGUAUCUCAUGGGGGCUCUGGAACAGGGGCUGUACCUUGAAGUUGUCCUAUCUUGAUCCAAAGGGACUUGAUCCAAAAGGACAUUUUGUGCCCCAAUCAUGGAAGUAUCCCCGCCUUUCCUUUUCUAAUUAGAAUUGGUAUCACUGGGCAGGAGACAGCUGAAUUGACAAAUGGCCCUCACACAAGACUUUGAUUGGAUUUCUUAUAAUCAAAAGGGAAAAUAUCACAUACCUCUCAAUUCCAUCCCAAGGUUGCAUCUAACACUGUCUACAGAGCUUUGAACCAGCCCAGAUGUCACAGGAGGGCUUCCCAACUGCUCUUCUAAAGAUUCCUCGGUGUGUGCAGAGCUCUGCUGUCUGUCUGUCUUCUCGUGCCAGGAGCUGAAUGUGCAAUCCCGUCUUCAACACCCCGAUUCUCACUUAGGUCACAAUGAGAAACCUGCAUACCCUAUUCCAUUCUUGCCUUUGGUUCAAAGUAAAUUAAAAACCCAAGCCAAAGAUUCUAAGAGGAAAUAAAACAAAAACCCAAUUUACC